rnacentral:rRNA from 1 species
AUUGAACGCUGGCGGCAGGCUUAACACAUGCAAGUCGAGCGGAGUGAUGGUGCUUGCACUAUCACUUAGCGGCGCACGGGUGAGUAACGCGUGGAUAUCUGCCUUUUGGUUCGGAAUAACCCCGGGAAACUGGGGCUAAUACCGGAUGGUUCCUUCGGGAUAAAGAUUUAUCGCCAAAAGAUGAGUCCGCGUACGAUUAGCUAGUUGGUGAGGUAAUGGCUCACCAAGGCGACGAUCGUUAGCUGGUCUGAGAGGACGAUCAGCCACACUGGGACUGAGACACGGCCCAGACUCCUACGGGAGGCAGCAGUGGGGAAUAUUGGACAAUGGGGGCAACCCUGAUCCAGCCAUGCCGCGUGAGUGAUGAAGGCCUUCGGGUUGUAAAGCUCUUUUGGCGGGGACGAUGAUGACGGUACCCGCAGAAUAAGCCCCGGCUAACUUCGUGCCAGCCGCCGCGGUAA